AAUACGAAGGGGGCUAGCGUUGCUCGGAAUUACUGGGCGUAGAGCGCACGUAGGCGGCUUCUUAAGUCAGGGGUGAAAUCCUGGAGCUCAACUCCAGAACUGCCUUUGAUACUGAGGAGCUGGAGUCCGGGAGAGGUGAGUGGAACUGCGAGUGUAGAGGUGAAAUUCGUAGAUAUUCGCAAGAACACCAGUGGCGAAGGCGGCUCACUGGCCCGGUACUGACGCUGAGGUGCGAAAGCGUGGGGAGCAAACAGGA
rnacentral:rRNA from 1 species